GAUGCUCCAGUUGACCGCAUGGUCCUCUGGGAAAGCUUUUGCGGUAUGGGAUGGGGUCGCGUCCUAUCAGCUUGAUGGCGGGGUAACGGCCCACCAUGGCUUCGACGGGUAGCCGGCCUGAGAGGGCGACCGGCCACAUUGGGACUGAGAUACGGCCCAGACUCCUACGGGAGGCAGCAGUGGGGAAUAUUGCACAAUGGGCGCAAGCCUGAUGCAGCGACGCCGCGUGCGGGAUGACGGCCUUCGGGUUGUAAACCGCUUUUGACUGGGAGCAAGCCCUUCGGGGUGAGUGUACCUUUCGAAUAAGCACCGGCUAACUACGUGCCAGCAGCCGCGGUAAUACGUAGGGUGCAAGCGUUAUCCGGAAUUAUUGGGCGUAAAGGGCUCGUAGGCGGUUCGUCGCGUCCGGUGUGAAAGUCCAUCGCUUAACGGUGGAUCCGCGCCGGGUACGGGCGGGCUUGAGUGCGGUAGGGGAGACUGGAAUUCCCGGUGUAACGGUGGAAUGUGUAGAUAUCGGGAAGAACACCAAUGGCGAAGGCAGGUCUCUGGGCCGUCACUGACGCUGAGGAGCGAAAGCGUGGGGAGCGAACAGGAUUAGAUACCCUGGUAGUCCACGCCGUAAACGGUGGAUGCUGGAUGUGGGGACCAUUCCACGGUCUCCGUGUCGGAGCCAACGCGUUAAGCAUCCCGCCUGGGGAGUACGGCCGCAAGGCUAAAACUCAAAGAAAUUGACGGGGGCCCGCACAAGCGGCGGAGCAUGCGGAUUAAUUCGAUGCAACGCGAAGAACCUUACCUGGGCUUGACAUGUUCCCGACAGCCCCAGAGAUGGGGCCUCCCUUCGGGGCGGGUUCACAGGUGGUGCAUGGUCGUCGUCAGCUCGUGUCGUGAGAUGUUGGGUUAAGUCCCGCAACGAGCGCAACCCUCGCCCUGUGUUGCCAGCACGUCGUGGUGGGAACUCACGGGGGACCGCCGGGGUCAACUCGGAGGAAGGUGGGGAUGACGUCAGAUCAUCAUGCCCCUUACGUCCAGGGCUUCACGCAUGCUACAAUGGCCGGUACAACGGGAUGCGACCUCGUGAGGGGGAGCGGAUCCCUUAAAACCGGUCUCAGUUCGGAUUGGAGUCUGCAACCCGACUCCAUGAAGGCGGAGUCGCUAGUAAUCGCGGAUCAGCAACGCCGCGGUGAAUGCGUUCCCGGGCCUUGUACACACCGCCCGUCAAGUCAUGAAAGUGGGUAGCACCCGAAGCCGGUGGCCCAACC
rnacentral:rRNA from 1 species